rnacentral:lncRNA from 1 species
ACACAUAUUCUCUUUUUGUGCUACACGGCUGCUGCCAGGGGGUGUGGGAGGGGUGGCAUUGGCAGUUCAAGACUGUCUUUCCUAUCCUCUUCAGUGCCUCUUUCAAUGAUAUGAAGUUCAAGCCAGGCUCCAAGCUUGAUAUAGAAGACUAUCAUAUGAACCAGAAAGGGUAACUGAAACCAAAGAAAUGACUCCAGUAUCAAGCUAAAGACAUGCCUUAAAGGAUGAGGAGGAGCAGAAAUCUUACCAGCAAGGCAAGAAAGAAGCCGUACGUGAACAGCCUCUGCUUUAGGCCCAGAAGGAAAAGAAGCUUACAGGAGACAAUCAGUCUUACACUCUUCCAUGGUCACAAACAAGAGGUCCCUGGAUCUACAGGUCAUCUUGCCCCUGAAAUGGCCCUGGAAAGCUAUGGCUGAAGAAUGGAGGAAAAGAUGACUUUCUCUGUUUCUUCAGACCAGGCAUCAACUGGGAUGUUGGGAUGUUGAUAAAAGGACAUCUCAUCCUUUGUUUUCUGCCUAUGCUUUCACCAUACCCAUUCCCAUGUCUGGUCAUCACAGCAUCCUUCACAGCCCUUAGCUGAAUCAUGUUGAGUACAGGAUGGUGUGAAUAUCAUGGUUUGAAUGCAACCAUGGUCUGUCAGUGUGGCUUGUUUUUUGCAGCCCACUUAGACUUAAGCCCUCUUAAUUUCAAAAUUACGUUCAUAUGUGCCAAUAAAGUUGUCCCUACAUGAACUGAAAAA